rnacentral:rRNA from 1 species
UACGUAGGGUGCAAGCGUUAAUCGGAAUUACUGGGCGUAAAGCGUGCGCAGGCGGUGAUGUAAGACAGUUGUGAAAUCCCCGGGCUCAACCUGGGAACUGCAUCUGUGACUGCAUCGCUGGAGUGCGGCAGAGGGGGAUGGAAUUCCGCGUGUAGCAGUGAAAUGCGUAGAUAUGCGGAGGAACACCGAUGGCGAAGGCAAUCCCCUGGGCCAGCACUGACGCUCAUGCACGAAAGCGUGGGGAGCAAACAGG